CUUUUAGAGUGCCACAUGUGUGGCUUUAGUAUUUAAGAAAACGCUGUCUUCAAGCUAUAUUGUAUGUUCUCGUUAUACAGCUGUUUACUACAGAUUCACAGUGCGGGUGGCUUGAAGGCAAACGUUGCGAAGAUAGAAUGCCACUUAUAAAACAUCUCAUGCGGUUUUAUCAAAUUAUUAUUAAGUGCUAAAGAAGAAGGCAUUCUUUGGUUUCGCUGCAGACAGGUGUGCGGCAUAUUAUGAUGGAACUGCGAAGUUUGUUCCGAGAGGAGAAGAGUACGACUCACUGCGAAAAGAGAUCACAACAAAAUGCAAUGCUGUGCGGCGUUAUCUCUGCUUCCUGUACUGUUUCAGUUUAGGCUAAAGGACCAUAUGUUGCAAACUCGAAUCGUUCUGGGCGUGCCACACUGCUUCAGGCGCAGAAGAAAGGCAUUGAGAGGCACAGACAG